rnacentral:rRNA from 1 species
UACGUAGGGGGCAAGCGUUGUCCGGAUUUAUUGGGCGUAAAGAGCGUGUAGGCGGCUAGAUAGGUCCGUUGUGAAAACUCGAGGCUCAACCUCGAGACGUCGAUGGAAACCAUCUGGCUAGAGUCCGGAAGAGGAGAGUGGAAUUCCUGGUGUAGCAGUGAAAUGCGUAGAUAUCGUGAGGAACACCAGAGGCGAAGGCGGCUACCUGGACAAUUGCUGACGCUCAGGCACGAAAGCGUGGGGAGCAAAAGGG